rnacentral:rRNA from 1 species
CAGUCGCCGCGGUAAUUCGUAGGUGGCAAGCGUUGUCCGGAAUUAUUGGGCGUAAAGGGCUCGCAGGCGGUUUCUUAAGUCUGAUGUGAAAGCCCCCGGCUCAACCGGGGAGGGUCAUUGGAAACUGGGAAACUUGAGUGCAGAAGAGGAGAGUGGGAUUCCACGUGUAGCGGUGAAAUGCGUAGAGAUGUGGAGGAACACCAGUGGCGAAGGCGACUCUCUGGUCUGUAACUGACGCUGAGGAGCGAAAGCGUGGGGAGCGAACAGGAUUAGAUACCCCGGUAGUCCCUGUCUCUUAUAC